GUGCCAGCCGCCGCGGUAAUACGUAGGGGGCAAGCGUUGUCCGGAAUCAUUGGGCGUAAAGGGCGCGUAGGCGGCUAUACAAGUCUGAUGUGAAAGUGCGGAGCUUAACUCCGUAAAGCAUUGGAAACUGUGUAGCUUGAGGACAGGAGAGGAAAGUGGAAUUCCACGUGUAGCGGUGAAAUGCGUAGAUAUGUGGAGGAACACCAGUGGCGAAGGCGACUUUCUGGACUGUAACUGACGCUGAGGCGCG
rnacentral:rRNA from 1 species